UACAGAGGUGGCAAGCGUUGUUCGGAAUUACUGGGCGUAAAGGGCGCGUAGGCGGCUCGACAAGUCCCGCGUGAAAGCCCCCGGCUCAACUGGGGAACUGCGCGGGAAACUGUCGGACUGAGUUCGGGGAGAGGGAAGCGGAAUUCCGGGUGUAGCGGUGAAAUGCGUAGAUAUCCGGAGGAACACCGGUGGCGAAGGCGGCUUCCUGGACC
rnacentral:rRNA from 1 species